CCAGACUCCUACGGGAGGCAGCAGUGAGGAAUAUUGGUCAAUGGGCGAGAGCCUGAACCAGCCAAGUAGCGUGCGGGAUGAAGGCCCUUGUGGUCGUAAACCGCUUUUAUCAGUGAAUAAAGUGCAUCACGUGUGGUGUCAUUGCAGGUAGCUGAAGAAAAAGGACCGGCUAAUUCCGUGCCAGCAGCCGCGGUAAUACGGAAGGUCCGGGCGUUAUCCGGAAUUAUUGGGUUUAAAGGGAGCGCAGGCGGGAGUAUAAGUCAGCUGUUAAAUAUCAGGGCCCAACUCUGUUAUGCAGUUGAAACUAUAUUUCUUGAGUACGCACAGGGAUGGCGGAAUUCAGGGUGUAGCGGUGAAAUGCUUAGAUAUCCUGAAGAACUCCGAUCGCGAAGGCAGCCAUCCGGAGCGUAACUGGCGCUGAGGCUCGAAGGUGCGGGUAUCGAACAGGAUUAGAUACCCUGGUAGUCCGCACGGUAAACGAUGAAUAC
rnacentral:rRNA from 1 species